rnacentral:rRNA from 1 species
UGGGGAAUAUUGGGCAAUGGGCGAAAGCCUGACCCAGCGACGCCGCGUGGGCGAUGAAGGCCUUCGGGUUGUAAAGCCCUGUCAUGUGGAAAGAACAGUCUCGUGGCUAAUAUCCACGGGAUUUGACGGUACCACAGGAGGAAGCACCGGCUAACUCCGUGCCAGCAGCCGCGGUAAUACGGAGGGUGCAAGCGUUGUUCGGAAUUAUUGGGCGUAAAGGGCGCGUAGGCGGUUGUGAAAGUCAGAUGUGAAAUACUUCGGCUCAACUGAAGAACUGCAUCUGAAACUUCAUAACUCGAGUACAGGAGAGGGAAACGGAAUUCCCGGUGUAGAGGUGAAAUUCGUAGAUAUCGGGAGGAACACCAGUGGCGAAGGCGGUUUCCUGGCCUGAUACUGACGCUGAGGCGCGAAAGCGUGGGGAGCAAACA